AUCCUCUAGUUCUUUUUCCCAUAAGAUCUGUUUGGUGGUUUAAAAGGAGGAAUAGUAACACUAAUGCUGCCCUUACAGGGAUCAUGUCUGCUAUGGAGUACAUGGGCUAGUUUCAAACAAGG